rnacentral:rRNA from 1 species
UACGAAGGGGGCUAGCGUUGUUCGGAUUUACUGGGCGUAAAGCGCACGUAGGCGGAUCUUUAAGUCAGAGGUGAAAUCCCAAGGCUCAACCUUGGAACUGCCUUUGAUACUGGGGAUCUUGAGUCCGGGAGAGGUGAGUGGAACUGCGAGUGUAGAGGUGAAAUUCGUAGAUAUUCGCAAGAACACCAGUGGCGAAGGCGGCCAACUGGUCCGGUACUGACGCUGAGGUGCGAAAGCGUGGGGAGCAAACAGG